rnacentral:rRNA from 1 species
AUACGUAGGGAGCGAGCGUUGUCCGGAAUUACUGGGUGUAAAGGGAGCGUAGGCGGGAGUGCAAGUCAGAUGUGAAAUACAUGGGCUCAACCCAUGGGCUGCAUUUGAAACUGCAUUUCUUGAGUGAAGUAGAGGUAAGCGGAAUUCCUGGUGUAGCGGUGAAAUGCGUAGAUAUCAGGAGGAACACCGGUGGCGAAGGCGGCUUACUGGGCUUUUACUGACGCUGAGGCUCGAAAGCGUGGGGAGCAAACAGGAUUAGAUACCCUGGUAGUCCACGCUGUAAACGAUGAUUACUAGGUGUGGGAGGACUGACCCCUUCCGUGCCGCAGUUAACACAAUAAGUAAUCCACCUGGGGAGUACGGCCGCAAGGUUGAAACUCAAAUGAAUUGACGGGG